GCUUGUAUGAAAGCAUUCAAAGGCUAGUUCGAGAUAAUUCAACACAAGACAAGAUCAUGGCUGAGCUAGAUGCCUACAAAAAUGCAACGGGUCUAUUUGGCAAUGCAAUGGCGAUUAGACAUAGAAAGAUGAAAUCACCGGCGGAUUGGUGGUCUUGUUAUGGAUCUUCAAGUCCCAACCUCAAAUCAUUUGCGAUAAAAGUUCUUAGCCUCACUUGUAGUGCUACCGGGUGCGAGAGAAAUUGGGGUGUCUUUGAACAUGUAAGUCAUUAUUUUAUUUUACUUUCACUAGAGUCUAGAAUACAUAAACUAUAAUUUUAACUUAUUGUCUUUUAUAUUUUUAUAGCUUCAUACCAAGAAGAGAAACCGAUUGGCACAAGAUCGGCUCAAUCACUUGGUUUAUGUGAAGUACAAUCGCAGUUUGGAAAGGCGAUACAAGAGGAAAGACACGAUAGAUCCUAUUUUAUUAGAAGAGAUUGAUGAUAGCAAUGAAUGGUUGCUUGGACAUAUGGAUGGGGACUCUUCUAAUGAAGAUAGUGAUCUUGUGUUUGAGGAUGAUAAUUUGACAUGGAGUGCCGUUAGCAAGGCUUCGGGAGCUAAUGACCCUAUUUAUAGCACUAGACAUGCAUCUAGAGUUGAUAAAGGAAAGGGUGUAGUUGCUUCGGGUUCGA